GACGAACGCUGGCGGCGUGCCUAAUACAUGCAAGUAGAACGCUGAAGAGAGGAGCUUGCUCUUCUUGGAUGAGUUGCGAACGGGUGAGUAACGCGUAGGUAACCUGCCUUGUAGCGGGGGAUAACUAUUGGAAACGAUAGCUAAUACCGCAUAACAAUGGAUGACACAUGUCAUUUAUUUGAAAGGGGCAAUUGCUCCACUACAAGAUGGACCUGCGUUGUAUUAGCUAGUAGGUGAGGUAACGGCUCACCUAGGCGACGAUACAUAGCCGACCUGAGAGGGUGAUCGGCCACACUGGGACUGAGACACGGCCCAGACUCCUACGGGAGGCAGCAGUAGGGAAUCUUCGGCAAUGGGGGCAACCCUGACCGAGCAACGCCGCGUGAGUGAAGAAGGUUUUCGGAUCGUAAAGCUCGGUUGUAAGUCAAGAACGAGUGUGAGAGUGGAAAGUUCACACUGUGACGGUAGCUUAACAGAAAGGGACGGCUAACUACGUG
rnacentral:rRNA from 1 species